rnacentral:rRNA from 1 species
UCGAACGGUGAUUAAGAGCUUGCUCUUAUGAUUAGUGGCGCACGGGUGAGUAAUAUAUAGGUAAUGUACCUCUUAGUCUGGGAUAGCCACUGGAAACGGUGAUUAAUACCGGAUACUCCUUUUCAUUUCAAGAUGAAUCGGGAAAGUUUUUCGCUAAGAGAUCGGCCUAUAUUUUAUUAGUUAGUUGGUGAGGUAAUGGCUUACCAAGGCAAUGAUAGGUAGUGGGUUUGAGAGGAUGAUCUGCUAUAUUGGUAUUGAGAUAUGGAUUAGACUUUU